rnacentral:rRNA from 1 species
UUUAUGGAGAGUUUGAUCCUGGCUCAGGAUGAACGCUGGCGGCGUGCCUAAUACAUGCAAGUCGAGCGAACGGACGAGAAGCUUGCUUCUCUGAUGUUAGCGGCGGACGGGUGAGUAACACGUGGAUAACCUACCCAUAAGACUGGGAUAACUUCGGGAAACCGGAGCUAAUACCGGAUAAUAUUUUGAACCGCAUGGUUCAAAAGUGAAAGACGGUCUUGCUGUCACUUAUAGAUGGAUCCGCGCUGCAUUAGCUAGUUGGUAAGGUAACGGCUUACCAAGGCAACGAUGCAUAGCCGACCUGAGAGGGUGAUCGGCCACACUGGAACUGAGACACGGUCCAGACUCCUACGGGAGGCAGCAGUAGGGAAUCUUCCGCAAUGGGCGAAAGCCUGACGGAGCAACGCCGCGUGAGUGAUGAAGGUCUUCGGAUCGUAAAACUCUGUUAUUAGGGAAGAACAUAUGUGUAAGUAACUGUGCACAUCUUGACGGUACCUAAUCAGAAAGCCACGGCUAACUACGUGCCAGCAGCCGCGGUAAUACGUAGGUGGCAAGCGUUAUCCGGAAUUAUUGGGCGUAAAGCGCGCGUAGGCGGUUUUUUAAGUCUGAUGUGAAAGCCCACGGCUCAACCGUGGAGGGUCAUUGGAAACUGGAAAACUUGAGUGCAGAAGAGGAAAGUGGAAUUCCAUGUGUAGCGGUGAAAUGCGCAGAGAUAUGGAGGAACACCAGUGGCGAAGGCGACUUUCUGGUCUGUAACUGACGCUGAUGUGCGAAAGCGUGGGGAUCAAACAGGAUUAGAUACCCUGGUAGUCCACGCCGUAAACGAUGAGUGCUAAGUGUUAGGGGGUUUCCGCCCCUUAGUGCUGCAGCUAACGCAUUAAGCACUCCGCCUGGGGAGUACGACCGCAAGGUUGAAACUCAAAGGAAUUGACGGGGACCCGCACAAGCGGUGGAGCAUGUGGUUUAAUUCGAAGCAACGCGAAGAACCUUACCAAAUCUUGACAUCCUUUGACAACUCUAGAGAUAGAGCCUUCCCCUUCGGGGGACAAAGUGACAGGUGGUGCAUGGUUGUCGUCAGCUCGUGUCGUGAGAUGUUGGGUUAAGUCCCGCAACGAGCGCAACCCUUAAGCUUAGUUGCCAUCAUUAAGUUGGGCACUCUAAGUUGACUGCCGGUGACAAACCGGAGGAAGGUGGGGAUGACGUCAAAUCAUCAUGCCCCUUAUGAUUUGGGCUACACACGUGCUACAAUGGACAAUACAAAGGGCAGCGAAACCGCGAGGUCAAGCAAAUCCCAUAAAGUUGUUCUCAGUUCGGAUUGUAGUCUGCAACUCGACUACAUGAAGCUGGAAUCGCUAGUAAUCGUAGAUCAGCAUGCUACGGUGAAUACGUUCCCGGGUCUUGUACACACCGCCCGUCACACCACGAGAGUUUGUAACACCCGAAGCCGGUGGAGUAACCUUUUAGGAGCUAGCCGUCGAAGGUGGGACAAAUGAUUGGGGUGAAGUCGUAACAAGGUAGCCGUAUCGGAAGGUGCGGCUGGAUCACCUCCUUUCU